rnacentral:tRNA from 1 species
GGAAGUUGAUGGGGUCUGGUGGCUCCUGCGGUCUUCAAAACCGCUGGCCGUGUAAUGCGCGGCGGCAGGUUCGAUUCCUGCCUCUUCC